rnacentral:tRNA from 1 species
UCCCUGGUAGCUUAGUUGGUAAAGAAUCUGCCUGGAAUGCAGGAAACCCAGGUUUGAUCCCUGGGUGGGGAA